UACGAAGGGGCUAGCGUUGUUCGGAAUCACUGGGCGUAAAGCGCACGUAGGCGGAUCUUUAAGUCAGGGGUGAAAUCCCGAGGCUCAACCUCGGAACUGCCUUUGAUACUGGGGAUCUCGAGUCCGGGAGAGGUGAGUGGAACUGCGAGUGUAGAGGUGAAAUUCGUAGAUAUUCGCAAGAACACCAGUGGCGAAGGCGGCUCACUGGCCCGGAACUGGACGCUGAGG
rnacentral:rRNA from 1 species